GCGUAACACGUGAACAAUCUACCUCUUAGUGGGGAAUAAUUCACCGAAAGGUGUACUAAUACCGCAUACGGUGGUCUUUCGCAUGAAAGACUUACCAAAGCUGGGGCUCGUAAGACCUGGCGCUAGGAGAGGAGUUCGCGGCCUAUCAGCUUGUUGGUGAGGUAACGGCUCACCAAGGCUAAGACGGGUAGCUGGUCUGAGAGGAUGAUCAGCCACACUGGAACUGAGACACGGUCCAGACACC
rnacentral:rRNA from 1 species